UACGAAGGGGGCUAGCGUUGCUCGGAAUCACUGGGCGUAAAGCGUGCGCAGGCGGCUUUGCAAGACAGAUGUGAAAUCCCCGGGCUCAACCUGGGAACUGCAUUUGUGACUGCAAGGCUAGAGUACGGUAGAGGGGGAUGGAAUUCCGCGUGUAGCAGUGAAAUGCGUAGAUAUGCGGAGGAACACCGAUGGCGAAGGCAAUCCCCUGGACCUGUACUGACGCUCAUGCACGAAAGCGUGGGGAGCAAACAGG
rnacentral:rRNA from 1 species